CAAUAUCAAGAUGGAGAAAAUGACAGAUGCUUUGACAUCAGAUGCUUUCCAGCUCAUUGAAAAGUGUUCUGAUUAUGUAAUGUUUAUGUUUAGGAUUAGGAUUAUGUUCACAGAGGAAGGGUCCAGAUUAGGAUUAGGAUUAUGUUCACAGAGGAAGGGUCCAGAUUAGGAUUAGGAUUAUGAUUAUGUACACAGAGGAAGGGUCCAGGUUAGAGUUAGGAUUAUGUUCACAGAGUAAGGGUCCAGGUUAGAGUUAGGAUUAUGUUCACAGAGUAAGGGUCCAGGUUAGAGUUAGGAUUAUU
ensembl:lncRNA